rnacentral:rRNA from 1 species
AGAGUUUGAUCAUGGCUCAGAUUGAACGCUGGCGGCAGGCCUAACACAUGCAAGUCGAGCGGCAGCGGAAAGUAGCUUGCUACUUUGCCGGCGAGCGGCGGACGGGUGAGUAAUGUCUGGGAAACUGCCUGAUGGAGGGGGAUAACUACUGGAAACGGUAGCUAAUACCGCAUAACGUCGCAAGACCAAAGAGGGGGACCUUCGGGCCUCUUGCCAUCAGAUGUGCCCAGAUGGGAUUAGCUAGUAGGUGGGGUAAUGGCUCACCUAGGCGACGAUCCCUAGCUGGUCUGAGAGGAUGACCAGCCACACUGGAACUGAGACACGGUCCAGACUCCUACGGGAGGCAGCAGUGGGGAAUAUUGCACAAUGGGCGCAAGCCUGAUGCAGCCAUGCCGCGUGUAUGAAGAAGGCCUUCGGGUUGUAAAGUACUUUCAGCGGGGAGGAAGGUGCUGAGGUUAAUAACCUCAGCAAUUGACGUUACCCGCAGAAGAAGCACCGGCUAACUCCGUGCCAGCAGCCGCGGUAAUACGGAAGGUGCAAGCGUUAAUCGGAAUUACUGGGCGUAAAGCGCACGCAGGCGGUCUGUCAAGUCGGAUGUGAAAUCCCCGGGCUCAACCUGGGAACUGCAUUCGAAACUGGCAGGCUAGAGUCUUGUAGAGGGGGGUAGAAUUCCAGGUGUAGCGGUGAAAUGCGUAGAGAUCUGGAGGAAUACCGGUGGCGAAGGCGGCCCCCUGGACAAAGACUGACGCUCAGGUGCGAAAGCGUGGGGAGCAAACAGGAUUAGAUACCCUGGUAGUCCA